rnacentral:rRNA from 1 species
UACGGGGGGGGCAAGCGUUGUUCGGAAUUACUGGGCGUAAAGGGCUCGUAGGCGGCCAACUAAGUCGGAUGUGAAAUCCCCAGGCUCAACUUGGGAACUGCAUCCGAUACUGGAUGGCUUGAAUUCGGGAGAGGGAUGCAGAAUUCCAGGUGUAGCGGUGAAAUGCGUAGAUAUCUGGAGGAACACCGGUGGCGAAGGCGGCCUUCUGGUCGGAUACUGACGCUAAAACGCGAAAGCGUGGGGAGCAAACAGG